UGACUACUCCCUCCGUCCUAAAAAAGAUGUCGCAAUUUUUUCAAAAUAUGGUUGUAUCUAGACAUGUUUUAGUGUCUAGAUACAUCCAAAUUUAAACAAAUUCUAGACAUCCUUUUUGGGACGUAGGGAGUACUAU
rfam:Brachypodium distachyon strain Bd21 chromosome 4, whole genome shotgun sequence.